AGUGAACGCUGGCGGUAGGCCUAACACAUGCAAGUCGAACGGCAGCACAGUAAGAGCUUGCUCUUACGGGUGGCGAGUGGCGGACGGGUGAGGAAUACAUCGGAAUCUACUUUUUCGUGGGGGAUAACGUAGGGAAACUUACGCUAAUACCGCAUACGACCUCCGGUUGAAAGCAGGGGAUCUUCGGACCUUGCGCGAUUGAAUGAGCCGAUGUCGGAUUAGCUAGUUGGCGGGGUAAAGGCCCACCAAGGCGACGAUCCGUAGCUGGUCUGAGAGGAUGAUCAGCCACACUGGAACUGAGACACGGUCCAGACUCCUACGGGAGGCAGCAGUGGGGAAUAUUGGACAAUGGGCGCAAGCCUGAUCCAGCCAUACCGCGUGGGCGAAGAAGGCCUUCGGGUUGUAAAGCCCUUUUGUUGGGAAAGAAAAGCAGCAGGUUAAUACCCCGCUGUUCUGACGGUACCCAAAGAAUAAGCACCGGCUAACUUCGUG
rnacentral:rRNA from 1 species